GCCCUCAUCGUCUAGCGGCCCAGGACAUCGCCCUUUCAAGGCGAAAACGGCGGUUCGACUCCGCCUGGGGGCACCA
rnacentral:tRNA from 1 species